GGCUCAGACUUUUUGGCUGCAAAUCCAUUUUUGGGAAUUCCCCUGGGCUU
rnacentral:tRNA from 1 species